ACCCGCUGAACUUAAGCAUAUCAAUAAGCGGAGGAAAAGAAACCAACAGGGAUUGCCCCAGUAACGGCGAGUGAAGCGGCAACAGCUCAAAUUUGAAAUCUGGCUCUCGGGCCCGAGUUGUAAUUUGGAGAGGAUGCUUUUGGCGAGGUGGCUUCUGAGUUCCCUGGAACGGGACGCCAGAGAGGGUGAGAGCCCCGUAUAGUCGCACACCAAGCCUUUGUAAAGCUCCUUCGACGAGUCGAGUAGUUUGGGAAUGCUGCUCAAAAUGGGAGGUAUAUCUCUUCUAAAGCUAAAUAUAGGCCAGAGACCGAUAGCGCACAAGUAGAGUGAUCGAAAGAUGAAAAGCACUUUGAAAAGAGGGUUAAAUAGCACGUGAAAUUGUUGAAAGGGAAGCGCUUGUGACCAGACUUGUGCCGGGCUGAUCAUCCACCGUUCUCGGUGGUGCACUCGACCCGGCUCAGGCCAGCGUCGGUUCUCGUAGGGGGAUAAAAGCUUCGGGAACGUGGCACCUUCGGGUGUGUUAUAGCCCGUUGCUUAAUACCCUUGUGGGGACCGAGGUUCGCGCUCUGCAAGGACGCUGGCAUAAUGGUCAUCAGCGACCCGUCUUGAAACACGG
rnacentral:rRNA from 1 species